AUGCCUUAAACUAAUGAGCAAGGAAAGUAACAAUUUGGGGUGACACCUGAAUCCUCGCUGCUAAUGUGAGAUGAAUUUUUGAGCUGGUAAAGGUUCCACCCUAAGAUGACUCACUGCUUUGCAGGAUUCCUGGGUGAGCAAUCUGGCCAA